rnacentral:lncRNA from 1 species
UUCGGGAUUCUUAUUAGCGUCUUAGGAAGGUAUUAAAGGCACCUAAGACGCUCCGCUUAAUACGAUUUUCCAGCGAUUAACAAUUUGACUAUUUAUUUUAACUUUUGCAAUCUUUGAAGUUAGAUUUCUCAAAUCUUAAACGAACUUAAUAAGACAUUAUUGCUUUAAAAUUCCGUUUAAAGUUAACUUUUUAAAAUUUUUUAAUUCUAAGCCAACUCGUGAGUUUGAAACUAUAUUGUUUUAAGAUUCAUUUUAAUUUUUUAAUUUGAUAAAAUAAAAGGCGUCGACGGGGGUUUGGAGUUUCUAACCCUAGACUAACGAUAGUCCACGCAAACAUAUAAAACAAGUAACGGGGAGGGGAGAGAGAGAGAGAUUUGGGUCCAAACUCGGGUUCUGUUCGCCUUGAUCGAGUUUUGAACCCACCUGUUUUUUGGGUUUUUUUAACCCGUUCACCUGUCCUAAUCUAAAUGUACAAAAUAAAAUACGAGAAAGAAAAGCAACAAGGGCUUAUGCCCAUUACAAAAAUAAAAUACAAAACAAAAUAAAGAAAAAGUCUUCUAGUCCAUUUCUUCGAGUUUCUCCAAUCUUCUAACUCCGGGAUCUCCUCGUCGUCGGUUUCAAGGCUUGACUCGAUGAAUUAACUUGAACCUUUAUAGCUCUCUUGAAAUGCGAGAGAAGGGGUGAGUCCUUGUCGAACUCAGGCCGAUUUCAUAUUCAAAAUAAAGUGAAAUAAGUGUAAGCGAUAACUCAAUGAUUUAAUAUCACGAAAUACUUAAAACAAAAUAAAUACUACUAUCUGAAUAUCGUCACAACGCAUGACACAGUUUUAAUUAGCCACUAAUAGGGAUAAAGCAAAAGCAGACAUGAAAGGGAAAAGAAAUCAAACAUCCAUAGAAGCAUAUUAGUGCAUAAGAAACAGUGAUCGGACGUCAACAACAAUUUAAUAAACUAAAUUCGAAUAGAAGUUUUAAGGUAUCAAAGAGUGCAUUACCUUAGAAACAUUUCAUGCUAGAAAAGAAAAAGAAAGAAAGAAAAGAAAUAAAAAUAAAAAUAAUAACAGUAACAACUAAGAAAAACAACACAGUAAUGAAUUCUAAGAACAAAGUCAACACCAAACUUCAUUUUUACAAGACUGUAUUGAUAAGGCCCAGCCCUCGAAUCAUCUAAGAAAAUGAAUGACUAUUGCGAGAUUAAAUUAACCACGAUGAGAAAGUUAUUGAUACACGAAAACAACGAGGAAUACAACCAGAACACGUCAUCAAGUAGUGAAGAAAUAGAAUGAUACCCAGCAUGCUCGAAAUCGGAACUACAUACUCCCUUGUAUCGAAGGGUAAAGAGGGAGGCGAGAUUACCCUUUUUAGAGCAGCUAACUAAGGCGGCAAGGACAACAGGAGACAUACUAUCGCUGGAUACUAACUAUAAAGAAAAAUCUAACUAAAUCAUGCUGAAAAUCGACACAAACCAAGUCAAAAUCUGCCUAGAAGCAGCUGGAAAACAGUAAGCAAAGAAAUAGAGCAGCACAACCAUAUAUACUCACGCUCGAAUAUCUCAACAUCGUUUGACCCAGCACAAACGGAAUAAGAAAAUGAACCAUGAAGAGUCUAUCGUCGAGCAAGAGUGAGAUCUAAUGUGCUAACAACUACCACUAAACUACUCCACAACAGAAUGAAUACACAGAUAAAAAGAAAAGACAUUAAUAACUAAUACUCAUUAACCAAAUCCUAACAUAUGUAGACCCAAAACAAGACUAAAACAUAAACAGAACACAAAGACAACCAAGAAUACAUCAUAAAAAGAACAAUAUAUAAGAACCGAGAAUUAAACAAAAUCAAGAAAGGAUUUACCUCUUUCCGGGCAGCGAACGGAACAGGAACAAGCAGCAAACGACAGCAACUUCCACACCAAACGAAAAAAAAACACGAACACAAAGGAGGAAUACGAGUCACGGCAUCGAACAGCUUGCAAGUCCUAUGUGAUGAAGCGAUAUUCCUGGAAUUCCCAAAACCUUUCUAUCUAAAGAAACAAUGAAGCCAAGGAUUUUCUCUCUUAAGUUUCAACGCAAAUUUUCUAACCCAAAACAAACUUCCUUUAGUUCCCUCAGAAGCAGACAGAACAACCCAAAAGAAUUUUUUCAAAAUUUUCCAACUAUUCUUCUACAACAGACCGAAAAGAAAUCAAAUAUUUCUCGAAAAAUUCUCCCAACCCCUUAGUGAUAGAGUUCCUUUUUCCAAAAAUCCAACCCCAACUUUCAACAAAAAUUCCCAACCUAAAUCUCUAACCACAUACAGAACAGGAAGCAGCAUUUUCCCAACAAAAUUCCUCCAACCCGUUGUUUGAAGGAAGAUCGGGUUUAAAUAGGAAAAUAAUUAGGGUUCCAAGUGAAGGCGGAUAAAACCGAAUUCGACCCGUUUCGAAUUCGAAAUUUCAAAAUUUAUCCAACAAAAUGAAUAUGCUACGAAGAUUCUUCAAAUUUUAAGCCAUUCCAAUGGAUUGAGAGCAAGGUGGAGGGUGGAGAUGAUUUUGUGGUACUAGCGAGCUACGUGUCGCAAAUCCGCUACUGCUAGGACGAGCAGUACGACCUGCUACGCAGUAGCUGGAGACGUACUGCCAGAGAGACGUUGGGAGGGAGAGGUCACGUGAGGUGACACGAGGGAGGAGAAAGGGAGGGGUUCGUGCGUGAGGGAGACGCGGGGUUCUGGGAAUUUUUCUUUUUUCUUUCCGUUCGCGUCUGUUCUGGUUUUCUGUUUUGG